rnacentral:rRNA from 1 species
GAUGAACGCUGGCGGCGUGCCUAAUACAUGCAAGUCGAGCGAACAGACGAGGAGCUUGCUCCUCUGACGUUAGCGGCGGACGGGUGAGUAACACGUGGAUAACCUACCUAUAAGACUGGGAUAACUUCGGGAAACCGGAGCUAAUACCGGAUAAUAUAUUGAACCGCAUGGUUCAAUAGUGAAAGACGGUUUUGCUGUCACUUAUAGAUGGAUCCGCGCCGCAUUAGCUAGUUGGUAAGGUAACGGCUUACCAAGGCAACGAUGCGUAGCCGACCUGAGAGGGUGAUCGGCCACCCUGGAACUGAGACACGGUCCAGACUCCUACGGGAGGCAGCAGUAGGGAAUCUUCCGCAAUGGGCGAAAGCCUGACGGAGCAACGCCGCGUGAGUGAUGAAGGUCUUCGGAUCGUAAAACUCUGUUAUUAGGGAAGAACAAAUGUGUAAGUAACUAUGCACGUCUUGACGGUACCUAAUCAGAAAGCCCCGGCUAACUACGUG